rnacentral:rRNA from 1 species
GUCGAUUAAGCCAUGCGAGUUAAAUGUUCUUCGUGAACAUAGCAGACUGCUCAGUAACACGUGGAUAACCUGCCCUUAGGACUGGCAUAACCCCGGGAAACUGGGGAUAAUUCCGGAUAGAUCAUAAAUGCUGGAAUGCUUUAUGAUUGAAAGGUUUCGACUGCCUUAGGAUGGAUCUGCGACCUAUCAGGUUGUAGUGGGUGUAAUGUACCUACUAGCCUACGACGGGUACGGGUUGUGGAAGCAAGAGCCCGGAGAUGGAUUCUGAGACAUGAAUCCAGGCCCUACGGGGCGCAGCAGGCGCGAAAACUUUACAAUGCGGGAAACCGUGAUAAGGGAACACUGAGUGCUAGCAUUUAUGUUAGCUGUCCACAUGUGUAAAUAGCAUGUGAUAGCAAGGGCUGGGCAAGACCGGUGCCAGCCGCCGCGGUAACACCGGCAGCCCGAGUGGUGAUCACUAUUAUUGGGUCUAAAGGGUCCGUAGCCGGUUUAAUCAGUCUUCUGGGAAAUCUAAUCGCUUAACUAUUAGGCUUCCAGGGGAUACUGUUAGACUUGGGACCGGGAGAGGUAAGAGGUACGGCAGGGGUAGGAGUGAAAUCUUGUAAUCCCUGUGAGACCACCAGUGGCGAAGGCGUCUUACCAGAACGGGUCCGACGGUGAGGGACGAAAGCUGGGGGCACGAACCGGAUUAGAUACCCGGGUAGUCCCAGCUGUAAACGAUGCUCGUUAGGUGUCAGGAACGGUGCGACUGUUUCUGGUGCCGA